rnacentral:rRNA from 1 species
GAUGAACGCUGGCGGCGUGCUUAACACAUGCAAGUCGAACGAAGUGUCGAACGGGUGAGUAAUACGUGGGUAACCUGCCCUACUUUAUGGGAUAAGCCUUGGAAACGGGGUCUAAUACCGGAUACAGGGUGAUGGUUUCGCGGCCUAUCAGCUUGGUGGUGGGGCGCAGGCUUAACAAGGGGUUGACGGGUAGCCGGCCUGAGAGUGUGACCGGCCACAUAGGGACGGAGAUACGGCCCAGAGUCGGAAGGGAGGCAGCAGUGGGGGAUAUUGCUCAAUGGGCGAAAGACUGAUGCAGCGACGCCGGGUGGGGGAUGAAGGCUUUGGGGUGGUAAAGCUAUUUCGCUAUCGAACGGUUAGGUGGAGAGUAGGCGCCGGCUAACUACGUGCCAGCAGCCGCGGUAAUAC